rnacentral:rRNA from 2 species
GACGAACGCUGGCGGCGUGCCUAAUACAUGCAAGUAGAACGCUGAAGAGAGGAGCUUGCUCUUCUUGGAUGAGUUGCGAACGGGUGAGUAACGCGUAGGUAACCUGCCUUGUAGCGGGGGAUAACUAUUGGAAACGAUAGCUAAUACCGCAUAACAAUGGAUGACACAUGUCAUUUAUUUGAAAGGGGCAAUUGCUCCACUACAAGAUGGACCUGCGUUGUAUUAGCUAGUAGGUGAGGUAACGGCUCACCUAGGCGACGAUACAUAGCCGACCUGAGAGGGUGAUCGGCCACACUGGGACUGAGACACGGCCCAGACUCCUACGGGAGGCAGCAGUAGGGAAUCUUCGGCAAUGGGGGCAACCCUGACCGAGCAACGCCGCGUGAGUGAAGAAGGUUUUCGGAUCGUAAAGCUCUGUUGUAAGUCAAGAACGAGUGUGAGAGUGGAAAGUUCACACUGUGACGGUAGCUUACCAGAAAGGGACGGCUA